UACGUAGGGUCCGAGCGUUAAUCGGAAUUACUGGGCGUAAAGGGUGCGUAGGCGGCGCGGUAAGUCGGGUGUGAAAUCUCGGAGCUUAACUCCGAAACUGCAUUCGAUACUGCCGUGCUUGAGGACUGGAGAGGAGACUGGAAUUUACGGUGUAGCGGUGAAAUGCGUAGAUAUCGUGAGGAAGACCAGUUGCGAAGGCGGAUCUCUGGGCAGUUCCUGACACUGAGGCACGAAGGCCAGGGGAGCAAACGGG
rnacentral:rRNA from 1 species